UCCUGGUUAGCUCAGCUGGUAGAGAGAUCCACUGGAAAUGGAGAGGUCCCUGGUUCGAUACCAGAACCCGGCG
rfam:Ixodes scapularis strain Wikel colony gcontig_1108379738892, whole genome shotgun sequence.